UACGGAGGGAGCUAGCGUUAUUCGGAAUUACUGGGCGUAAAGCGCACGUAGGCGGCUUUGUAAGUUAGAGGUGAAAGCCCAGGGCUUAACCCUGGAAUUGCCUUUAAGACUGCAUCGCUAGAAUCGUGGAGAGGUGAGUGGAAUUCCGAGUGUAGAGGUGAAAUUCGUAGAUAUUCGGAAGGAACACCUGUGGCGAAAGG
rnacentral:rRNA from 1 species